AAACCCCAAAUCUUUCACUUCUAACCUAUCCUUCCCCCCCACUGCCAACCCACCAUUAUACCCACCGCCAUAACCCCUCUAUUCCCCCUUUACACCCACCUCUCUCACCACCGUAAACCUCCAUUAUCAUCUCAAAUAUCAUCACCCUCAUCACUUCUCACUGUAAGCCCUUUAAACCUCCCUAACCGCCGAUUUGCAUGCUGACCUAACCUUCUUCUUCCACUGAUAACCUUUAUCACCCACCUCACCACCCAUUCUCCUUGUCACCACCGAUUACCCUCAACACUCCACUAUUCACUGCAAGAUAACCCAGUUAUCACCUACUAUCACCGCCGACCACCCUCUUCCUCAUCCCUAUUUCCUUUCCUCUGUUCACCACCGUAAACCCACCUAUCCUUCCCCCCCCCCACUGUACACCGCCAGUACACCUUCUUCCCCCCCAUCCGCCGCCGACCACCUUACCCUACUCCCCUAACCGCCGACAACCUUCCCCCUUUAUCACCCGCCACCGACCGCAGCCGAAACCUUUCUACCACCCAUCAUAGCCGAAACCAUUCUACCACCCAUCACAGCCGAUACCACUUUAAUCCCCACACUUAACCCCCCAUAACCACCACCGUUAUUACAAUCUACUACCCGAUUUCCACCGUCAAAUCCAUCAGAUUUCACCAUAAAAAUCGGAUUUCAUUUUUGGGCUUAAAGGUUCAACCGAAAAAUUUCUCUAUUCUUCUUGUUUCUCUCGAAUCUCAGGUAUGCUUCUUGAUGUCAGGUGAAGGUUCCUCGUCAGGCACCAAACGCAGGUGAGGUGCUUCCACGAGAUCUCAGGGGGCUGUUUAGGAGCAGCCGGCUGAUUUACCACUGAGAGUGGUCAGUUAUCGUGGAGCAGGGUUUGAGAUGAGGAGUAGAUGGUGUGGUUUAAGGAUGAUGCAGCAGUGAUCGAGCAUACCGUUU
rnacentral:lncRNA from 1 species